AACGAACGCUGGCGGCAGGCUUAACACAUGCAAGUCGAGCGCAUCCUUCGGGGUGAGCGGCAGACGGGUGAGUAACGCGUGGGAACGUACCCUUUCCUACGGAAUAGCUCCGGGAAACUGGAAUUAAUACCGUAUACGCCCUUAGGGGGAAAGAUUUAUCGGGGAAGGAUCGGCCCGCGUUGGAUUAGCUAGUUGGUGGGGUAAAGGCCUACCAAGGCGACGUUCCAUAGCUGGUCUGAGAGGAUGAUCAGCCACAUUGGGACUGAGACACGGCCCAAACGCCUACGGGAGGCAGCAGUGGGGAAUAUUGGACAAUGGGCUCAAGCCUGAUCCAGCCAUGCCGCGUGAGUGAUGAAGGCCUUAGGGUUGUAAAGCUCUUUCAGUAGGGAAGAUAAUGACGGUACCUACAGAAGAAGCCCCGGCUAACUUCGUGCCAGCCGCCGCGGUAA
rnacentral:rRNA from 1 species